UAUACAGUCGGGUUCGGGGUUUCGGGCGGCCAUGGCGAAUUUUCGGCAGGAUUUUACCCCAGUGAAAAAGGCUUGUAAUCCACAGUGAUCAGCUAAGAUGUUAUUUCACUGGAUUAUUUAAUUGGGCAUAUAAUUGGAUAAUUCUGUCCUCAACAUGGAAGAUAUGUAUUGUUCCUAACCAUCUAUAAUCCAUUCUCUAUGAAGUUCAGACUGUCUGCUCUUCCUUUGGAAAUACACAGUUAGUCAACCAACAUAGAAACACACAAACUUGAAGGAUUCUCUAGUGAGGGCUUAUGGAAAUGAUCUAUAUCUACUCUUAGAAUGGUGAAAGACUAUCAGAUUAUGCAAAGACUAACAGAAUAUCCUCUCUUGGAACACUGAAACAAGAAAAUCAAACAGGAGAUGGAUGGAGGAUUUAAGAAGAACAGAGAUAAAUAUAAUUUCCAACGAAUUUAACCAGUACGAUCAUAGACUGUGGUUUACAGGAUGACAAAGUAACAGGAUUGUAUCAUUUUACUGUCAGACACUGACUAUGGAUAAGAUGUACCCAUUUAUUAAACUGAGAUCUAGUCAAAUCAAGUAUUGAGAACAUGAUUUUCUGAAAGCAUGAACUCUUUAAAAAUUAAUUCUCACAGACCUCAAAGUAUCUGAAUGUGACUUUUAUUUUUUUACCAAUUC